AUGUUGUGGUGGAAAAAACUUAUAAUGUGAGCCAUGUAGCGUAUAGCAUAGUCUAUGUAGUGUGUGUAGUGUGUGUGUAUGCAAAUUUUCAUGUAGCAUAGGCUACAUGUGACUUAAACUAGUUUCAUGAGCUACAUAGCGUUAAGGCUAAGCUACACUAAGCUACUUAGCAUAAGCUAUACACUACAUAGCAGCGGAGUUAUUUAAACACCAGGUAUAACUGAUAUUGACAUUUUUUAUUACCUAGGAAUGAACUGGUGCAAAAGACUACAACUUUCUGUGGGAAUCUUAUCAAGAUAAAAUUGCUACGGGGAUUGAGCUGCACUCAAUGGUGGUUUUUAAAGUUGGGGCCCCACGUAAUUGUACCGCCUUGAAGAAAGUGAGAUCAAGUGGUAACCAACUGACCUUUCACCUAUAAUGGAAGUCUGUGAUGAGUGUUUCAAUCUAGAUUGUGUUUUCCCCCCUUUUUCCUGUAUGUCCAUCUAGCUGUGUCCUGCAAUCCGUGGACUUCUAAGUGCACUAGAAAAUAUAUGACAUUUUAGCAAUUCAAUUAGGAUAUGAAAGCGACAUGCGUGGACCUUCAGGCAGGCAUGUUGGGUUCUGAGUGCAUGACACAUCAUUCUCAUUUCUUUGGUAUGACUUUUGGAACAAACAAAGCGUGUGUACUUUAUAAUCGGGUCUGACUCGUCGAUCUCUAGCUUUGGUGUUGGAUCUCCACUGUCUUCCAGUUUCGCUUGAUAUGAGUGGAAGUGGAAGUGAACUAACUUGUUGCCAUGGGCAUUUGGCCUCCAAUUCUCUUAGUCAUCUUCCACUCACAACUAACUUGUAAAUCUCAUGUCAUCACAUCAUCAAUCAAUUUCUCACUAUCAAGUCCAAAAACUGUUUGUUCAUCUUUAGACUCUACGAGUGGACCAUAAAUUAAUGUUCUUGGUCAUUGCACAAUCAUAACCAUUUCAAAAAGAUGUUGAACGAAUAUCAAUGACUUGAUUUCCAUGAUUUUUGUACUCCCUUUUCUUAAAUGGUUAUGAUUCUCCUAUCACUGCGGUCUUUUUUAACAUGACCCAUUCGUGUUUGUCACUAAUGAAUGAACGGUUUGGAUCAUCAUGCAUAUAUGCCAUAUGUACAGUACAGAAAGUGGGAGAUUGAAAUUAGGUCUUGCAUUGGCUAACCUUCACUAUCUACUGGAUAGAGACUGAUUCCUAAUGCCAAAAUAAUGAGAUUGGCUGAUGGCCUUUUAUGUUCAAUCACAGAAUGUUUUAGAGACCCACAUCAUUAGCUAAUUUUAACUUCAUUGAUGCGUGGUCUAUCAAAGGAGAGUGAUCUUUGGUGGGCCAUGUCUAUUUUAUUCUUCCAGUACCUUAUUUUCUGUUUGCAACCAAUGCAUAUAAAUGUUGUUUUGUCACCCUUCUGUUUGAGCUAUUAGAUUACAGAUUUCUCCAGACAAAGCUUCAAUCUCCUUAACUUUCAGGUAUAUCUUGGUUAUUAUCAUCCCUUACCAGCGUGAAGGUUGAAAGCACAUUGCAGAUCUCGGAGCAUUGUCAACAAAUGUGUUUGUUCAACACUUGCACCUUCUGGAGCACAUGUGAGAUCAUCCAAGCCUCUCAUCAGGUGCGGGACAGUCAUCUAACUUGAUUGGUUUGUUAAUCUCGACUACUGUUAAUUUCUUUUAAGACAUGAGCGGCCCACCUCAUGAACAGACUGGCCCCCACUCCCUAAUAGUUCACUUAGUGGUUCACAUCCAUUGGAUUCUCAUACUGAAUGUGCGAGAUUUGGCUUUCAAUCUCACCACCGGCUCAGAUUCUUUGGUCUUGCUCUUUGGUGUUAGGUCCAAGUGUCAAUCAAAUGGUCAUAGAUUACCUCAUCCAAAGGGCAUGCUUGCUGAUAAUUAGCUUGCUUGUGGGCCCCAUCACAAUGGCUCUUGGUCACAGUUAUUUAACUCAUGCUCUUCUUCUUUCGGGCCCCAUCGAAAUCCUUCUAGAUUCCGCGUAAGUUUGCAAAGAACAGAGCAGCAUGUACUGGAGCUAUGUAUCUAGUGCUAUACAUCUUUUCUGUUUCUUAUGUUGGCUUCAGGGAGACAUUUGAUGCUCUGGCAGUCUGAUGUUGAUGCACAUGCUCACAAAUUGUAGACUUCUUAAACCAAACCGUCCAAUUUUAGGACCCAAUGAUCGAAAUACCAUUACCUUUCAUUAAUGUGCCUUUGGUGUGUGUGUGUGGAAUUAGGACUUGGUUUUCAUUUCGUCCUGUCAAGUCAUAUGUAGUUUACGGGCCAUCUAAGUUGGGACCCACAUAUUCUAUUGUGCUUGUGAAAUUCUUUAGUGGCUGUGUAUCAACCAUCAAAGUCUGGCAGAGUAUCAGAGUUUUUCUUGCAUGGUUUUGAUAGUGGUUGGAGAGCUAGUGGUGGCUUUUCCUCUUGUUGGAGGUGAGUGCUAUUCUUGAUAAAAAGUAGUUAGGCACUUCCAAUUCA